rnacentral:lncRNA from 1 species
AUGCUAGAGUGCAGAAGCUUUGGAAGGAACAACACAAAAAUGGCAUGUGUUGAUGACAGCAUCUAUGUUAGCAGGUUUUCAGCAUCUCAGCAGAUCUAUGUACAGCUUCUAAGGACACCCAGAUCAGGAGUCAAAGCACUCUCAGCUCCUAAACGAUACAGAAAAGUACAUCUAAAACCAACAUGUCAUUGUCAACCUAAGAACAACCCAGGAGACAUGGAUAAAUUGAAGGUUUAUGACAGCGGAGAGCCCAAACAGAAACCAAUAAGCGCAAGAAAUAGAGGACAGAUGAUAUGCACCUCUCUUCUCUCCUGGUUAGGUCUCACAGUUGCUCUGUGCUGGAAAUCCAGCAAACCAAAACACUCUCGUCUCUGUCCUACUACAGGCUCUUUUGCUCCCAUUCUGAGGCAUGACGAACCCAUUCCAGAUUCUUUCGCUGUUCUGAAGGAUACCAAAGUCUAGCUGCUCUGGCUGGCAUCGUACUGUAGAAGUGAUUUUUUCCCCUCAGCAUUGCUGUUUCUAAAAAUGAAAAAACCUGUGUACAGAGUCUUCCAAAAGGACUGCAGGAUUCGGUCCUACCCUUUUGGAAUUCCAAGCCAGCACAGCAGGAGCAGCAUCUAGUUGAAAACAUCAGGGAUGAGAAAAUUCAUCUACCGCUAUCUGAGCAGGUGAGAAUUUUUACUGUUAGAGGAAAGGGUAUCUGGAUUAUUUCAGUGGGUCCCAUCUCACCCCACUACGAUGAGACCUUUGAGCAGUCCAAUACUCCACAGUCACUGCAAAUAUACACCUCAUUCUUGCCUUGGAUGCUACCUCUGGGGCAAUUCUGUUCCUGCUACUGCCACCAAGCUAGAUCUGCUGGGGCAGCCCACUAUGUGGCCAGUGUAUUUCUUGCCACUCCACCGAAAAGUGAGGAUAGUUUUGCCUAGCUACUCUCCUAAAUAUUUAUUUUUAAGUCCUUCAAAUUGCUUUAGAUAAUUAAUUAGCAAUGUUUGUUCACAAGUUUUAAUAUAGUGCAUGUGUUACGAUCAUUCUUUUUAACUAAAAUGUUCUUUCAGCUACAAUUCCCAAGGGUCAGACUUGUUCAGCAACCAAAAGCAGAAUGCAGGCAUUACGGUAAAGCACGGAGCAAACGCUGUUAGCGAUCAUGCCAAGGAUAACUCAGGACAAACAAUUGGCUUAGUAGGCAGAGAAAAGCAUCAUGAAAAACAACAAAUUGAAAAAAGGGCAUGCAGCAGGGCAGAUUUUUUUAUCCUCCAAUUAUAUCAGCACACUGUUCAGACUGGUGACUCUAUAAAACCCAUGUUAAACUAGAAUGCAUUUCUUUUCCAUGACAGAAUAGGUUUGCUUUAACAAUAAAAGAUCAUUGCUUUUUAACA